UAGAUUUUACUUUCUUCCCCCAGAUUUCAUCUCAUCCUAUCCUUUCUUCUCUCUCCUUUUUAAAACUCACACACAAACACAGUGUGGGACAGUGGGAGAGUACUAUUAACCGGCGAGAAGCCAUGGACGGCGUUUUGGGUCUGGCUUGUAGCUUUCUCGCACUGGGCAUCAACAAGUUGCUUGAUUCUCAUCCUUCAGAUUUGAAUCAAAGGUGAUGUCUGCUUCUAUCCAUAACCCAUGUGUAUUAAGUUUAAAAUCAUUAGUUUCUGCUACAUAUUUUACUCUCUAUAUUGAUUACCCACUCCUUCCUUUUUGAAGACUCCCAUUUGUAAAUUUAUAAACUUGGAUAUAUUUUUGUUACAUGUUUACCUGAUUUUGUUAAGUGAUGAUAAAUAUGAAGAUUUUUAGUCAUUUUAUAUUACCAUGAAAAGAGAUGGGACUCUUUUAUUGGAACAAAAAAAUUAACAAAUAGAACUUUUUUGUGGAAGGACUGAAGGAGUUACCAUUAUGUGCCCAUUUGAUGACAUCACAUAUAGGCAAAUAAUAGGAAUAAAUAUAAUAUAUAAAGGGUGAUUCAUAGCAAAUGGUUGUUAUGGAUACUAUUUCAGCAAACAAAUUUUACAGCAUUAAUCCAUAGAAUGGCCCAAAGAGGAACUGACAGAGUGACAGCUACAAAAAAAAAAAUUACUGGCCACUACUAAAACUUGCAGCCAUGAGAAAUGUCUAAAACACCCCUACUUUAGUUAGAUUUAAAUAGUUUCAAUGUAUAAAAUAUUUGUAUAAAUAAUUUUAAAGUCAUAAAAUUUAACACAUUGUCAACUAUAUAUAAUGUAUUUAUUUUUAUAAAUAAUUUCUUAAUUAAUAAAAUUUAAAAUUUUCAAAUAUAUUCAAUGUAUUUAUUUGUAUGAAUAAUUUUUAAGUAAUAAAAUUUAACAUUGUCAACUAUAUUUAAUGUAUUUAUUUUUAUAAAAUAUUUGUAUAAAUAAUUUCUUAUGUAAUAUAAUUUAACAUUUUCAAUUAUUGUGAUAAGUUGAUUAUUUAAAAUUUAAACUCCAUAUUACAAAUAUUUUAUACAUUGAAACUAUUUAAAUUUAACUAAAGGGGUGUUUUAGACUUUUCUUCUGGCCGCAAGUCCUAGUAGUGGUCAGCAAAAAAAAAAUCUUUGGCCGCUACUAAGAGUUGCGGCCACUAAAAAAAAUAUUCCUCUUUGAGCCAUUGAAUCUCUAGAUUAACGGUGUAAGAUCUAUUUGCUGAAAUAGUAUUCAUAGCAGCCAUUUGUUAUGGAUCACUCCCCAUAUAUAAAAUACACAACAAAUGAACAUACUAUUUUAAAAAAUAAUGAAUGUGUGCGACUGAAUAAAUUAUUAAUAGGUAUUUCAUCACCCCAUAGAUAUAACGAUCCAAACUAUGUUGUUGCUCUCUUUAAGCCUGCAUCACUAGGAGAGCCCAAAGCUUCAUGACCCCACACCAUUCUUGCCCAAAUACUACUCGUAUAUUUUCACAAAAAUAGCACAUUAAUAUGAGCAAUGUUUGAGUAUAUCUUUUAUGAUACUUUCUCUACUCUCAGGCUAUAUCAUCUCCAUUGUAGAAUGUGUUUUCCAAAAAGAUUUUUGUACAUGUGCACACCAUGUUAUAUGUGUGUGUGUGUGUAUAUAUAUAUAUAUAUAUAUAUAUAUAUAUAUAUAUAUAUAUAUAUAAGAUGGAGAUGAUGAACCAUCAUUAUAGCCCUCGAUGAUAUCGUAUUUGAACUUUAUGUUUAACAAAUAAAUAAUAAAUGAUGGUGAAAAUACUUAAAAAGAAUUGUAAAUACCCUAACAGGCAAUAAACUGAUUUAUGGUUUUUCCUUGGCUGCUCUUUGUGCCCAUCGAUUAGUUAUAACCUUUGACUCGAUCGAAGCUUGAAGGCGAUCUUAUCGUAUUCACUAUGUGAAAUUUAUGUCUUAGGAAACCAAGAAUUGAGAAAUGCUUGCAAUUUGAUGACACAAAAUUAAGUUUAUAGCUAACUUAUUAUCUUUAAAUUGGCUAUGGAUAAUCUGGAAAUUUUGUCUGAUUAUUCCUACCUACAUCCUUGUCCUACGUCAGCAAGCUUACAUUACAAGACAAAUUACCUGAAUGGUGAGGCUUUAGCAAAAUGAGUACAACAAAGGUUGGGCGUCACAUAUGUAUUAAUGUCAUCCCUUAGAAAAUAUUUGGAUAGAGCUUUAUGAUAUGAUGUUUAUUUUGAAGUAUUCAAUAAUAUAAGAAAUAGGUUCUCAUAAAGCCAUGGAGGCCUGUACUUGAGUGGUUCUGUUUUGCAUAUGGCGAAAGGGGCAGUGAUAAGUUAAUAGCAAUAUGUGCUCAAAAUAAUCCGCUCUUUCGGUUAAACAGUUUUCUAGAUUUCUCUUUUGGAUGAGAACUAAAUAGAUUAGAAGAAAAAUGAUACUUCAAGAUGUACUAAUUAAUUUUAUGCUGAUGAUCCGUGUCUGCUGGACUUAUUUAUGGGGUUUAGAGGAUUCCACUUGAGCCUAAGUUACUCAUCCUGUAUUUGAGACCGUAUGAGCUCAAGAUGCCAGCAGCUGGUUUUGGUUUUACUUCAUCCUGAUGAGAUUUAGCUUCAUGACAAUUCUUUCAGGUUUCUUCUUGACACAGCGGAAAGACGGGUAAACAACAGAAACAAUAAUUGAAUCUAUAACUUUGCGAUCACAAGAAUCCACAAAGAAGAGAUAAAAGACUGUACAACAGUCAUCAUAAUAAUCUUAUAAUUCCAUAAUAAUAACACUAAGAGACUAUUUAUACUACUUAAACCCUCAAAAUAAAUAAAAUCUAAUAAACUUAAAAAUUAAGGCCAAAACAUAAAUGGACCCAAAAUAAUUAAACCUAAUUACCUAAAUAAUAAAUAAAAAUACAAUAAUUGUUUAAAAUUUCCAUAUAUUACAAAAUAUAAAUUAAACUCAUAAACAUCCUUGCUUUUUUCCGACUCUUACAUUUUAUUUUAUUUUUUGUCUGCUUUUUUUACCAAAAUAUAAUCACUUUUAUUUUUCGAGAAGAGGUAAGCAUGAAAACUCACUUUUUCUACUUUGACUGAUUAAUGGAGCGAAUUUUUUUAAAAACAAUAAAUAAGAAGUGAUUCGACUUGUUCUAGAUGCUAGCAUUUUUAUUUUAAUGGUUAUUUCGGUUGAGGCGUCCUUUCGAAACAAUACAGGAGUUGCUCGUGUUGUUGUCAGACUUCCAGACAUGACAGAAAUGAUAGUUAACUGUACUGUAUUAAAAUAACAGACGACUGAAAUUGGGCUGUCACCAAUGCUUAUUGUUGGAAUGUGAUUUGAUGUGUCCGAGAGAUUCAGGGGACCCACGCCACGUGGCUGAAUAUUACAUUGACAAUAAGGAGUUUGACGUUGUGGAGGAGUCACAUUCCAAGUUGACUUAUAAUUCCCUUGUCCUAAUGCUUUUCAAGUGAGAUAUUCCAGCACUUCUGAUGAGAAAAGAAUUAAUGAGGUAUUUUCUCUAUUUAUACACCUACACGGUGAUUUUGUCCAUGAAUAUUAAUAAAUUUACUUAUAUCUGCUUAAAAAUACUCAUCCUUUUCUACCGAGUAUUAUUACUUUUUUUGGCGGAAGCCACAACCAGUAACAACUUGAAAUUUUUUGAAGGGAUCAAGUUAGACUAAAAGUUACACCUCAAAUGCAGUUGGUGCCUAUUAAUUAAGACCGUAAGUCUAGCAAUUUAUUACGUAUAUAGCAUUCUGAUAUGUUGAUUAGAAUUAAUGCACAACUUGUUAAGCAAUUUUGUCAUUCAUGUUCUACUGUAAAUGUUGUGACAUUUUACCAAACUUCUGGAGGCUUUAUUGUACCAAUGAUACAACUAUUUAAAGCUAUCUAGCUAGUUACCUUGUGUGUUCUGUUAGUUUUGGGAAAAUUAGCUAGUUUCCUUGUGUGUUCUGUUAUUUUUGGGAAAAGGAAAACAGAAUAUGUAUUGUUACUGUGAAAGAGUCACGUCAACACAUAUGAUUAACAUGCCUGUUUUUCAGUUGUCUUGCAUUUCUUUUUACAGCAUGUGCUGGUAGUUUGAAAACACUAGAACAUAUCUCUUCUUUUCUUUUUCAUUUUUUGAGCCAAAAUGUCAUAACAAACAUGAAAAAUUUGUGGAAACAAAACCAAAUAGCAAGAAACACCACAAUGAGUGGAUCUUCAAGUGUUUUUUCAUUGCCUUCACGGCGAAGUCCUGGCAGUUCUACGAGGAGCUUUUCUUUUGAGAUCUCAUGGAAGAAACAUCAAAAGAAUAAGUACUGUUGAUAAAAAGUUAUAAAUAUAAUGGAAUAUAGUAUAAUGACAUUCAGUUACUAAUAUCAAAUGCUUACAAGUUUGUUAUUACUCAUUUGUGCAUCAUAAUUUACUUUUAGCUUUAUCUGCUCUUUCCCCAAUCCAUGAAAUUAUAGUCUGAAACACUAGUUCCACACUAUCAUUUGGUUCACCCAUCAACAUAUGCCACAUGCCUUCGAAAAUCCGAAGGCUCUUGUCCUUACUAGCUGCUGAUUCAUAAACAUUCACAACAGCCUUAGGGUCACAUGAUUUAUCAUCCCCACCAUGAACCAUUAACACUGGAACUUCCAAUUCAUGGCAAUUCCUCUUUAUAAAUUUACAAACUCUAAGACACUCCAAUGCUGUCGCCGCUGGUGGCUUCCCUGAAGUCAAGCGGUGGCGAUUAGGACUCUUUCCGACUAACUUCCUCUUCCACUCUUCCUUGAACGACUUACUUGCAGGAGACCUUGUGAUCACAAAUCUCCAACUUGGUGCAAUGAAAGCAGCCAGAGGAAGUAGUUUUUCGAGUGGCCACAUUGGUUUAAUUUUUUUAGAAACUCCACACAUAGCUCCAUUUAAUAUCAAACCAUUCCAUUCACGUGUUUGUUUUAGGCAUAUUAGUAUGGCUAUUCCACCACCUAAUGACUCACCAUACAGGAAAGCUGGGAGCUUCGGAUUAUCACCUCGGACAGAGUCAAAGAACUGGAUGCAAUCACCUACAAUGACUUGGAUAUUUGGUAUGUGACCGGGAUGUCCAUCAGAAUAUCCGUGGCCUUGUAGGUCAAGUGCACAAGCAAUGAAUCCU
rnacentral:lncRNA from 1 species